GGGCGCGUAGCUCAGUUGGUCAGAGCGCUACACUCACAUUGUAGAGGUCAGGGGUUCGAGUCCCUUCGCGCCCACUA
rnacentral:tRNA from 1 species